CACUCUCAGGUACUCUUAAAUUAUCCUUUUCUUACUUGCCAUAAAGUUAACAAUUUCUUAUCCAUCCUUUCAAAUAAUUUUCAGAUCCAAUUUUAAAUCUCCAUCAUUUGCCAUAUAUAUCUAUCUUCACAGAUGAUUUGCAAUCUCACAAAUGAUUAUUGAAAAUCAAAUCAAAAUUAAAUAAUUUAACAACAAAGGUUGAAAGGAUUAAUUUUAAAAUGUGCACCUUCACCAUUAUUUAUCAUAUUUAAACACUCUCAGAUCCAAUUUUAAAUCUCCAUCAUUUGCCAUAUAUGUCUAUCUUCACAGAUGAUUUGCAAUCUCACAAAUGAUUACUGAAAACCAAAUUAAAAUUGAAUAAUUUAACAAUAAAGAUUAAAAGGAUUAAUUUUAAAAUAUGCAUCUCUAUUAUUUAAACAUCCUCAGAUCCAAUUUUAAAUCUCCCUCAUUCGCCAUAUAUUUAUCAUCCAUCUUCAAUUUGCAAUCUCACAGAUGAUUACUGAAAAUCAAAUCAAAAUUGAAUAAUUUAACAACAAACAAUUGGAUAUAUUUUCGGAUACGCAAGGAUUUGAACGACGGUUAAAAGGAUUAAUUUUAAAAUACCGUGUGUGCUGGUCUUUUAUCCGCGAGAAAGCAUGGAAGUCGUCGCUUGGCGUGCUAACACCCUCGCAGGGCGCGGCUCAAUCAAUUAUUGUGGCGAGGGUGCGGUCGUCCCUGCGCGAGUUCCAGCCCCUGGCAUGGCAACAACCCUAUGGCGAAUCUCUCUCUCUCUCGUUCCUUUUCUUCUUUUCCACAUUAAGUUCCACCUUUUAAAGAUGGAAACUCGAGAAUUGAAAAGGAACGACGAUUAACCGUACAAUUACAAAGCUCUUCUCUUUCUUCUUUUUCUUUUUUAUAAUAUCUGUCUAUCCUGAUUCUUGUUACAACGAGUAACCAGUUGAUCGAUUUUGUCUUCCCUUGGCAAAGUUUCAAACUAUCGAUCAUGGUUGUUAACCCUCGAGCCUCAGAUCCCCUGCACGAAUUAAAUUUUUAACCAAAUUGGCUGCUUUGAUCUUCCUCGUGGUUUUAUUUAAAAAAAAAAAAUUGCAAGGUCAAUUAUCCUCAAUUUCUUCCUUUUAUUCUUGAGAAAUAUUUUACAACUUAUUGCAAUUUCCUUGUUGGCGACAAUUUGAAAUUUGUAUAUUUUGGUGCAAAGAAUAUCAAUGUAUGUAUUUAUG